ACUGUAUCAGAAGUCAUUGAGGGUGGGUCUUUUGUGUCCUAAAAGUGUCAGUAGAAGGCAGAGAAAAGAGAGGUUAUGUCCACGCUCAGCUCACUGUCCUGACCUAUGAACACCUGAAUGAUUAGUAGCCUAACAUU